rnacentral:rRNA from 1 species
UACAGAGACCUCAAGCGUUAUCCGGAAUCAUUGGGCGUAAAGCGUACCGAUAGGUGGUCUAAAAAGUCAGAAGUGAAAUCUCAAGGCUCAACUUUGAGACUGUCUUUUGAAACUUUUAGACUAGAGGGGCAAAGAGGAAGCUGGAACGAACGGUGUAGUAGUGAAAUGCGUUGAUAUCGUUCGGAACACCAAUAGCGAAGGCGGGCUUCUGGGUGCCACCUGACACUGCUAGGACGAAAGCGUGGGGAGCGAAUGGG